GAUGAACGCUAGCGGGAGGCUUAACACAUGCAAGUCGAGGGGCAGCACGAUGUAGCAAUACGUUGGUGGCGACCGGCGCACGGGUGAGUAACGCGUAUGCAACCUACCCUGUACUGGGGGAUAGCCCGGAGAAAUUCGGAUUAAUACCCCAUAAUGAUAUUGAGAGGCAUCUUUUGAUAUUUAAAGUUUCGACGGUACGGGAUGGGCAUGCGUAACAUUAGCUAGUUGGUAGGGUAACGGCCUACCAAGGCAACGAUGUUUAGGGGUCCUGAGAGGGUGAUCCCCCACACUGGUACUGAGACACGGACCAGACUCCUACGGGAGGCAGCAGUGAGGGAUAUUGGUCAAUGGGCGUAAGCCUGAACCAGCCAUCCCGCGUGAAGGAAGAAGGCGCUAUGCGUCGUAAACUUCUUUUCCAGAGGAAUAAAAUUUUGUACGCGUACAGAACUGAAGGUACUCUGGGAAUAAGCAUCGGCUAACUCCGUGCCAGCCGCCGCAGUAACAC
rnacentral:rRNA from 1 species